rnacentral:rRNA from 1 species
UACGUAGGGUGCAGGCGUUAAUCGGAAUUACUGGGCGUAAAGCGUGCGCAGGCGGUUUGCUAAGACAGGUGUGAAAUCCCCCGGGCUUAACCUGGGAACUGCGCUUGAGACUGGCGGGCUAGAGGCCGAGAGAGGGUGGUGGAAUUCCCAGUGUAGAGGUGAAAUUCGUAGAUAUUGGGAAGAACACCGGUGGCGAAGGCGGCCACCUGGCUCGGUACGUGACGCUGAGGCGCGACAGCGUGGGGAGCAAACAGG